ACCUGAUGACAUGGGCAUUUACAGAGCAGGUCCUUGAAGCGCUCCCAAGCCUUAAUGAAAAGUUCUCCAUCCAUCUGUGUAAAACUUGUGAUUGCCCUUUGCAGUU